rnacentral:rRNA from 1 species
UACGUAGGGUGCAAGCGUUGUCCGGAAUUAUUGGGCGUAAAGAGCUCGUAGGCGGUUUGUCGCGUCUGCUGUGAAAACCCGAGGCUCAACCUCGGGCCUGCAGUGGGUACGGGCAAACUAGAGUGCGGUAGGGGAGAAUGGAAUUCCUGGUGUAGCGGUGGAAUGCGCAGAUAUCAGGAGGAACACCGAUGGCGAAGGCGGUUCUCUGGGCCUUACCUGACGCUGAGGAGCGAAAGCGUGGGGAGCGAACAGG